rnacentral:rRNA from 1 species
UCGGGAAUUUUGGGCAAUGGGCGAAAGCCUGAUCCAGCCAUGCCGCGUGAGUGACGAAGGCCUUAGGGUUGUAAAGCUCUUUUGGCGGGGAAGAUAAUGACGGUACCCGCAGAAUAAGCUCCGGCUAACUUCGUGCCAGCAGCCGCGGUAAUACGAAGGGAGCUAGCGUUGUUCGGAAUCACUGGGCGUAAAGCGCACGUAGGCGGAUUGUUUAGUCAGGGGUGAAAUCCCGGGGCUCAACCUCGGAACUGCCUUUGAUACUGGCAAUCUCGAGUCCGAUAGAGGUGGGUGGAAUUCCUAGUGUAGAGGUGAAAUUCGUAGAUAUUAGGAAGAACACCGGUGGCGAAGGCGGCCCACUGGAUCGGUACUGACGCUGAGGUGCGAAAGCGUGGGGAGCAAACAGGAUUAGAUACCCCAGUAGUCCCUGAGCGGGCUGGCAAGGCGCAU